rnacentral:lncRNA from 1 species
GGGCCUCACAGAAAAGAGAUUGUUACCCCGCUGGCAAGGUACUGGCUUGACACUUCCCAAGAAAACGGCAGCACCCGAGCUAUCGAUCCAAGGGCCCUUCGUGCCUCCAAACUCCGACACUGCGGCUCGUUCGUGUCGCACAGCCAUCGACCUCUAGAGCCACCUGCACCCCUCACAGGGGGUCCCGGUCGGCUAGGGGCGGGAUAGAGCCGGGAUAGCCGGCCUAGAGAAAAGACGGCCGAUCCCUGGUUGAGGCCUUACUUUAUCUGUGAAAGCCACUAAAGCUGUGCAGGGCUUUUGACCUGGCGCACGGACAGGUAGAGGACAAAGGGAGGUGUGGCGUCCUCCCCACACUUUAGGUCCUCUUAGAAGAAACAAAACACCAAAAGCCCCCCUGGCGGGCGCGGGCUGCCUCAAACUGGCCUCGCGGGGGCCGGGGCCGGGGCCCUGGCAGUCUGGCAGAUCUGCGGUGCGGGGAGGCCGGGGUUCCGGGGGGUUCCGGGCGGCCCCGAGCGAAGAGUCGGUCAGGCCCCGGCGCCCACGCGGCCGCGCUCCCAGACUCCCUUGCGCCUGGGGCGGGCGCGGGGCGCUUUGGGGCCCUUCCGGCCGCCGCGGCCCCUCGGGCUCCCCGGGGCGCGGCCACCCGGCCGCCCGGGCCCCGCCCGCUCGCCGCCGCCGCCGGGGCCCCUCCGGCGCGCGGUCCCGGGGCCUGGCCGGCGAACGGGUUCCAGCGCCCGCCUUGCCUCUGCGCCCCCCGGGGGUCGGGGAGGCACCUCGCAGCGGCCUUCCAGCCUCUCACCGGCCUCCCUUCUCCCCCUCUCCCCGCUCUGUACGGGCGCCCCUCGGGCCAGGAGGAGGCCCGGUGGCAGCAGCCGGCGCCCAGCCUCCCCCUUCCCCCCCCCCCCCCCCCCGCCCCGGGAGGACGGUGCCCGCGCCUUCUGGCUCCCUCCGGUGGGCGCCCGCAGGACCCAGCCACGCGGUCCAAGUUGCAGUGUGCCUAGAUUUUCCUCCAAGGACAAAAAUGUGA